rnacentral:rRNA from 1 species
GACGAACGCUGGCGGCGUGCUUAACACAUGCAAGUCGAACGGUGAAGGGACCGGUUUUUGCUGGUUCUGGAUGAGUGGCGAACGUGUGAGUAACACGUGAGUAACCUGCCCCCUUCUUCUGGAUAACCGCAUGAAAGUGUGGCUAAUACGGGAUAUUCUGCGCCUUCUGCAUGGUGGGUGUGGGAAAGAUAUUGUUUCGGUUGGGGAUGGGCUCGCGGCCUAUCAGGUUGUUGGUGGGGUGAUGGCCUACCCAGGCGGUGACGGGUAGCCGGCAUGGGAGGGUGGACGGUCACACUGGGACUGAGACACGGCGCAGACUCCUACGGGAGGCAGCAGUGGGGAAUAUUGCACAAUGGGCGCAAGGCUGAUGCAGCGACGCCGCGUGAGGGAUGGAGGCCUUCGGGUUGUAAACCUCUUGCGCCAGUGAAGCAGGCCUGUCCCUUUUGUGGGUGGGUUGACGGUAGCUGGAGAAGAAGCGCCGGCUAACUACGUG